rnacentral:sRNA from 1 species
UGUUAUCAAAUUUGGAGCUAAGUCCAUUGAGAAGGUGCAUCACUAAGGCGCGAUCUGAGACAGGGGAAUCCACAUUGGCGAGCGUAUCAGAGAGUGACUUCAGUUUUUGACAAUAGUCAUGAACCGAUCGAUCGCCAAUCCGGAGAUUUCGGAGUUCAUUUUCCAGUUGUAUUGCACGGGCUUCUUUGUUGUCGCGGAAUAACGAGCAUGAGCCAAAGUUUACGUGCAGAGCACUGCGAUUUUAAGAUAGAGUUGAGGAGCGAUUCUGAAAUGGUACCGUAGAUCCACAUGUUAACUGUAUUGUCAAGUUGCUUCCAUGUUGCGUCGGUUGGUCCGAUGGGAAGGGAGGUGCCAUCGAUAUGCCCGGUGAGAGAGAAACUAAGGCAAUGAGUUUCGAAGAGGAUGCGCCAUGAAUCGUAGUUCAUCUUCUCCAUGUUGAGAGUGAUGGGGAUGUGAGCACGGAUCUGAGUGAGACUCGCAGCAGGAGUAGUAGCGGUUGGUGGAGGAACUGUCGCCAUGAAUUAAGUGCAGAUCAAGAGAGACAAAGAAAAAAAAAUGGAGAGAAGAGCUAGAGAUACAGAGAGAAAAGUGAAGAGAAGAGCAAAAGAGAGAGAGAGAGAACACGAAGAAGAAGACUGAAAAGAUGAGGAAAAGAUGACUGCUAGGGUUUAGAGAAGAGUCUCUGAUACCAUAUUAGAAUAGGUAUAAUCUCAAUUGAUGAGUUCCUUGACAUAUUCACAAGGGGUUUAAAUACAUAGCAAUAUACAAAGUAGUCGUUAGAGGCUUAAUGAGAAGAUUCCUAAAAUACAGAAAGGAAUAUAUGCAUUCCUAUUCUAAUACUUUU